UACGGGGGGGGCAAGCGUUGUUCGGAAUUACUGGGCGUAAAGGGCUCGUAGGCGGCCAACUAAGUCGGAUGUGAAAUCCCCAGGCUUAACCUGGGAGCUGCAUCCGAUACUGGAUGGCUUGAAUCCGGGAGAGGGAUGCAGAAUUCCAGGUGUAGCGGUGAAAUGCGUAGAUAUCUGGAGGAAUACCGGUGGCGAAGGCGGCAUCCUGGACCGGCAUUGACGCUGAGUGAGCGAAAGCGUGGGGAGCGAACAGG
rnacentral:rRNA from 1 species